ACCUCACGUUUCCAACCCUAGGACCCGAAAACGAGAACACGCUAACAGGCACAGCUCUGCAAUCAUUUAACAAAUUUAGACCUGUUUCAACGAUAUCAUAGGCGCUGAGAAUCGCCAGGGCACUGCCUAGACUGUGACCAGUUAUGGUAAUGCUUAUCUCUUCAUCUUGGUACAGUUCAAGCAACUUCUUCACUUCAGUUAGAAUUUGUUCCCUGGCUGAAAACUUGCAGAACCGGCAAUUCACAUCCUUCUCAGUGUAGAGAUCAAGGAAACCCGAUUCUACUUUCACCAUUGGAUCGGGGCAUGGAAUUUUGUUGGAAGAAAUCGGUUUGAGAAAAUCCAUCAAAUCUGCAAUCCACUCUAGGCGUGUCACCGUGCCCCUCCAAGCAAUGGUGAUGUCCCGACGGCCUAAACGCUUUGACAUUUCGUCAUCAGACACCGCAACAUAUCCGAUCCAAUUCGCAUUCUUACUCCACACUUUGGGCCAGCGUGAUUUCUUGAAAAAAUUCGGAAGGUUAAUGUUGGAUGUGGCGAAGAGGUACCUAGAGA
rnacentral:lncRNA from 1 species